AUUCCAGCUCCAAUAGCGUAUAUUAAAGUUGUUGCAGUUAGAACGCUCGUAGUCGGAUUUCGGGGCGGGUCGACCGGUCUGCCGAUGGGUACGCACUGGCCGACGCGUCCUUCCUUCCGGAGACCGUCUCACUCUUAACUGAGCGGAGGCGGGAGACGGAACGUUUACUUUGAAAAAAUCAGAGUGUUUCAAGCAGGCAGCUCGCUCUUGCAUGGAUUAGCAUGGGAUAAUGAAAUAGGACUUUGGUGCUAUUUUGUUGGUUUCGAACACCGAAGUAAUGAUGAGCAGGGACAGUCAGGGGCACUCGUAUUCCGCCGAGAGAGGUGAAAUUCUCAGACCAGCGGAAGACGAACUACUGCGAAAGCAUUUGCCAGGGAUGUUUUCAUCG
rnacentral:rRNA from 1 species